rnacentral:rRNA from 1 species
AGAGCGAACGCUGGCGGCAGGCUUAACACAUGCAAGUCGAGCGGGCGUAGCAAUACGUCAGCGGCAGACGGGUGAGUAACGCGUGGGAACGUACCUUUUGGUUCGGAACAACCCAGGGAAACUUGGGCUAAUACCGGAUAAGCCCUUACGGGGAAAGAUUUAUCGCCGAAAGAUCGGCCCGCGUCUGAUUAGCUAGUUGGUGAGGUAAUGGCUCACCAAGGCGACGAUCAGUAGCUGGUCUGAGAGGAUGAUCAGCCACAUUGGGACUGAGACACGGCCCAAACUCCUACGGGAGGCAGCAGUGGGGAAUAUUGGACAAUGGGCGCAAGCCUGAUCCAGCCAUGCCGCGUGAGUGAUGAAGGCCCUAGGGUUGUAAAGCUCUUUUGUGCGGGAAGAUAAUGACGGUACCGCAAGAAUAACGCCCCGGCUAACGUUCCGCGCCAGCAGCCGC